rnacentral:rRNA from 1 species
GACGAACGCUGGCGGCGUGCCUAAUACAUGCAAGUAGAACGCACAGUUUAUACCGUAGCUUGCUACACCAUAGACUGUGAGUUGCGAACGGGUGAGUAACGCGUAGGUAACCUGCCUGGUAGCGGGGGAUAACUAUUGGAAACGAUAGCUAAUACCGCAUAAUAUUGAUUAUUGCAUGAUAAUUGAUUGAAAGAUGCUAUUGCAUCACUACCAGAUGGACCUGCGUUGUAUUAGCUAGUAGGUGAGGUAACGGCUCACCUAGGCGACGAUACAUAGCCGACCUGGGAGGGGGAUCGGCCACACUGGGACUGAGACACGGCCCAGACUCCUACGGGAGGCAGCAGUAGGGAAUCUUCGGCAAUGGACGAAAGUCUGACCGAGCAACGCCGCGUGAGUGAAGAAGGGUUUCGGAUCGUAAAGAUCUGUUGUAAGAGAAGAAAGGGUGUGAGAGUGGAAAGUUCACACUGUGACGGUAUCUUACCAGAAAGGGACGGCUAACUACGUG